AAAAUAACAAUGAUUUCCCUAGUAACGGCGAGUGAAGAGGAAAGAGCUCAAAGUUGGAACCUGUUUGGCUUAGCUAAACCGGAUUGUAAACUGUAGAAGUGUUUUCCAGACACGCCUGGUAAAAAAGUCCUUUGGAACAGGGCAUCAUAGAGGGUGAGAAUCCCGUCAUUGGCCAGAGCUGUUGUCUUUUGUGAUACAUUUUCAAAGAGUCAGGUUGUUUGGGAAUGCAGCCUAAAUUGGGUGGUAAAUCUCACCUAAAGCUAAAUAUUUGCGAGAGACCGAUAGCGAACAAGUACCGUGAGGGAAAGAUGAAAAGAACUUUGAAAAGAGAGUUAAACAGUAUGUGAAAUUGUUAAAAGGGAACCGUUUGGAGCCAGACUGGCUUAACUGUAAUCAAUCUAGGCUUUGGCCUGGAUGCACUUGCGGUUUAUGCCGGCCAACGACAGUUUUGUUUGAGGGAAAAAAUUACAUUGAAUGUGGCCCUUCGGGGUGUUAUAGCUUUGUAAAAAAUACCUUGGACUGGACUGAGGAACGCAGUGAAUGCCUUUAGGCAAGAUUGCUGGGUGCUUUCGCUAAUAAAUGCUAGAAUUUCUGCUUCGGGUGGUGCUAGUGUUUAAAGGAGGAACUCGCUUAGUAUAUUUUUUAUUCGCUUAGGUUGUUGGCUUAAUGACUCUAAAUGAC
rnacentral:rRNA from 1 species